ensembl:snoRNA
AAGACUAUACUUUCAGGGAUCAUUUCUAUAGUUUUUGACUUGAGAAAUGUGUUUCUAAAGUGUUUGGUCUCGCUACCCACGAUGAUGAGAUGUGAUAUUCCCUUCUGAGCGUGAAGCAGGCAGAGAGUAAUGAUUCAGUUCAUAUGCUCUCUGUCAUUGAUGAUCGUUCUUUGCUUCUCUUGUGAAGCAUCUGAGGGAGGGAAUAUGUUCAGAGUGGUA